GCCUUCGUGGUGUAGUGGUUAACUCAAUCGACGCGUAUUCGAGCUGUCGGUGGUUCGAGUCCCGGCGGGGGCA
rnacentral:tRNA from 1 species